AUUGAACGCUGGCGGAAUGCUUUACACAUGCAAGUCGAGCGGCAGCACGGGGGCAACCCUGGUGGCGAGCGGCGAACGGGUGAGUAAUACAUCGGAACAUGCCCAGUCGUGGGGGAUAACACUUCGAAAGAAGUGCUAAUACCGCAUACGUCCUGAGGGAGAAAGCGGGGGAUCUUCGGACCUCGCGCGAUUGGAGUGGCCGAUGUCAGAUUAGCUAGUUGGUGGGGUAAAGGCCUACCUAGGCAACGAUCUGUAGCUGGUCUGAGAGGAUGAUCAGCCACACUGGUACUGAGACACGGUCCAGACUCCUACGGGAGGCAGCAGUAAGGAAUAUUGCGCAAUGGGCGAAAGCCUGACGCAGCGACGCCGCGUGGGGGAUGAAGGUCUUCGGAUUGUAAACCCCUUUCGGGAGGGAAGAUGGGAUGGGGUAACCCAUUCGGACGGUACCUCCAGAAGCAGCCACGGCUAACUUCGUGCCAGCAGCCGCGGUAACAC
rnacentral:rRNA from 1 species